AAAGUCGUAACAAGGUUUCCGUAGGUGAACCUGCGGAAGGAUCAUUAACGUAUGUAUUAUGUAAGUAUGAGUGAGGAAGUGGGGGUAUUGUAAGGUAUCCCUAUGAAAGAAUAUAACCAAUAGUAGAAUAAUUUAUAAAUGAAGAUAACUUUUAACAAUGGAUCUCUAGGCUCUC
rnacentral:misc_RNA from 1 species